CCUGUUCCCAUGCCGAACACAGCAGUUAAGCCCUUAUACGCCGAAAGUACUCGACUGGAAACGGUCCGGGAGGAUAGGGAGCUGCCGGUU
rnacentral:rRNA from 1 species